rnacentral:rRNA from 1 species
UACGUAGGGUGCGAGCGUUGUCCGGAAUUAUUGGGCGUAAAGAGCUCGUAGGCGGUGUGUCACGUCGGCCGUGAAAACCUGCAGCUUAACUGUGGGCGUGCGGUCGAUACGGGCAUCACUGGAGUUCGGCAGGGGAGACUGGAAUUCCUGGUGUAGCGGUGAAAUGCGCAGAUAUCAGGAGGAACACCGGUGGCGAAGGCGGCAUCCUGGACCGGCAUUGACGCUGAGGAGCGAAAGCCAGGGGAGCAAACGGG